AGUGAACGCUGGCGGUAGGCCUAACACAUGCAAGUCGAACGGCAGCACAGUAAGAGCUUGCUCUUACGGGUGGCGAGUGGCGGACGGGUGAGGAAUACAUCGGAAUCUACUUUUUCGUGGGGGAUAACGUAGGGAAACUUACGCUAAUACCGCAUACGACCUACGGGUGAAAGCAGGGGAUCUUCGGACCUUGCGCGAUUGAAUGAGCCGAUGUCGGAUUAGCUAGUUGGCGGGGUAAAGGCCCACCAAGGCGACGAUCCGUAGCUGGUCUGAGAGGAUGAUCAGCCACACUGGAACUGAGACACGGUCCAGACUCCUACGGGAGGCAGCAGUGGGGAAUAUUGGACAAUGGGCGCAAGCCUGAUCCAGCCAUACCGCGUGGGUGAAGAAGGCCUGCGGGUUGUAAAGCCCUUUUGCUGGGAAAGAAAAGCAGCAGGUUAAUACCCCGCUGUUCUGACGGUACCCAAAGAAUAAGCACCGGCUAACUUCGU
rnacentral:rRNA from 1 species